UACGAAGGGGGCUAGCGUUGUUCGGAAUUACUGGGCGUAAAGCGCGCGUAGGCGGUUUUGCAAGCCCGAGGUGAAAUGCCUGAGCUCAACUUAGGAAUUGCCUUUGGGACUGCGAGGCUUUGAGGACUGGAGAGGUGAGUGGAAUUCCCAGUGUAGAGGUGAAAUUCGUAGAUAUUGGGAAGAACACCGGUGGCGAAGGCGGCUCACUGGCCAGUUUCUGACGCUGCAGCGCGAAAGCGUGGGGAUCAAACAGG
rnacentral:rRNA from 1 species